rnacentral:rRNA from 1 species
CAGCCGCCGCGGUAAUACGAAGGGUGCAAGCGUUACUCGGAAUUACUGGGCGUAAAGCGUGCGUAGGUGGUGGUUUAAGUCCGUUGUGAAAGCCCUGGGCUCAACCUGGGAAUUGCAGUGGAUACUGGGUCACUAGAGUGUGGUAGAGGAUAGUGGAAUUUCCGGUGUAGCAGUGAAAUGCGUAGAGAUCGGAAGGAACAUCUGUGGCGAAGGCGACUAUCUGGGCCAACACUGACACUGAGGCACGAAAGCGUGGGGAGCAAACAGGAUUAGAUACCCGGUAGUCCCUGUCUCUUAUACC